rnacentral:rRNA from 1 species
GACGAACGCUGGCGGCGUGCUUAACACAUGCAAGUCGAACGGAAAGGCCCUGCUUUUGUCGGGUUCUCGAGUGGCGAACGGGCGAGUAACUCGUGUGUAACCUGCUCUUCACUUUGGGAUAACUUCAGCUAACUGCGGCAACUACUACCUCGUAGCUUCUGCUGACUGGAGGGGGUUGGAUAGUUUCGGCGGUCGGGGGUGGACUCGCGGCUUAUCUGCUCGUUGGGGGGGUAGUGGCUCACCGAGGCUCUGACGGGUAGCCGACCUGUGAGGGUGUCCGGCCACAAUGGGACUGAGAGACGGCCCAGACGCCUACGGGGGGCAGUAGGGGGGAAUAUUACACAAUGGGCGGAAGCCUGAUGCAGCAACGCCGCGGGCGGGAAGACGGCCUUCGGGGUGUAAACCGCGUUCGCCUGAGACGAAGCGUGAUUGACGUUAAUGGGUAAAGAAGCACCGGCUAACUACGUG